rnacentral:rRNA from 1 species
AUCUAUGGUCACACUGCCCUGAACAAGACUGAUCUUAUCUGAUCUCAGAAGCUAAGCAGGCUUGGGUCUUGGUAGUAGAAGCUAAGCAGAGUAAGAAUGGGUUAGUAUUUGGAUGGGAGACUCACAAUCAGGGAUACUGUCCAUC